CCUACGGGUGGCAGCAGUGAGGAAUAUUGGUCAAUGGCCGGAAGGCUGAACCAGCCAAGCCGCGUGAGGGAGGAAGGCGCAGAGCGUCUCAGACCUCUUUUGCCGGGGGACAAAAGGCCGGACUCGUCCGGUCCUGAGGGUACCCGGAGAAAAAGCAUCGGCAAACCUCGUGCCAGCAGCCGCGGCAAUACGGGGGAUGCGAGCGUUAUCGGGAUUCAUUGGGUUUAAAGGGUGCGCGGGCGGGCCUUUAAGCCGGCGGGGAAAUCGCGGGGCUCAACCCCGCCGAGCCGUCGGAACUGGGAGCCUUGAGUGCGGCGGAGGGAUGCAGAAUGCGCGGUGUAGCGGUGAAAUGCAUAGAUAUCGCGCAGAACCCCGAUUGCGAAGGCAGCGUGCCGUGCCACCACUGACGCUGAGGCACGAAAGCGCGGGGAUCGAACAGGAUUAGAUACCCCAGUAGUC
rnacentral:rRNA from 1 species